AUGCAGUCUGACGAGAAGGGAACUGCGGUUCCUGAGUACAGUGGCGCACGGGUGCGUAACACGUAGGUAAUCUACCCCGGACUCUGGGAUAACGUCUCGAAAGGGACGCUAAGACUGGAUAGGGUCCUCGAGGCGGACGCUGCGAGGGGAAAACGGGCCUCUGCUAUACGCCUGUGGUCCGGGAGGAGCUUGCGGCCCAUUAGCUCGUUGGUAGGGUAACGGCCUACCAAGGCGACGAUGGGUAGCUGGUCUGAGAGGAUGAUCAGCCACACUGGCACUGAGAGACGGGCCAGACUCCUACGGGAGGCAGCAGUGGGGAAUUUUGCGCAAUGGGCGAAAGCCUGACGCAGUAACGCCGCGUGGAGGACGAAGGCCUUCGGGUUGUAAACUCCUGUCAGGGGGAACGACAGCAGUAGGACGAACGCCCCUACUGUCCAGACGGUACCCCCAAAGGAAGCCCCGGCUAAUUCCGUGCCAGCAGCCGCGGUAAGACGGAAGGGGCAAGCGUUGUUCGGAAUCAUUGGGCGUAAAGGAGUGAGUAGGCGGUUUGGUAGGUCUGCUGUGAAAGCCCACGGCUCACCCGUGGAAAGGCAGCAGAAACGGCCAGACUUGAGGCUGGGAGGGGUUGGUGGAAUUCCCCGUGUAGCGGUGAAAUGCGUAGAGACGGGG
rnacentral:rRNA from 1 species